GACUGCCUGAAGAAGGAGGUCAGUUAACCCGGAAGAACACUGUACACCAGCGAGCUCAUAUUGCUGGCGCUGCCUUGGAGCAAGUAUCACCAGCACCCGCAGCCAAGGCCAGGACCACAGCCCACAGGGAGAAAGGAAGAUUCCAAUACAGCUGAUACUAAAUGAGCACCUUCGAAAUGCCCUUCCUUUCCUUCCUCUCAUUACCAAACAAUGAAUGAAAGCCAGUGACA
rnacentral:lncRNA from 1 species